AGAGUGGGAAGGAAGCGGUAGGUUCACUAGUCUCGUUGCAGGAUGAUUCAAAAUUGUGUCUUUACCAGAAAAUGAGUGCAGUUUCUUAUUUUGCCAGAUAUUCUUGGAAGAGCAAAAUUAAACAUAUUUAUUUAGAGUUCUUGGGAGAUGAAGAGAAUAAGGCUACAGAUUUUCUAAUGCUGAGCCCCAUCACUAUCUAGGCUCCUAACAUCGGACCCUGUUGUCAUGUCCUGGAAGAAAUGUUAGGCCUUCUGGAAUGGAGUCAGGAGAAAGAUAAGGAAAGCAGGUGGUACCACAUCCUUCCACUGAUAGGAGCAUGGGUGCGCGAUGCUCUCUGAUAUCUGGUGCAACCUAGAGAGAACUCUGAAUGGCAGAUUUGCUGGAAAAACACUGAGUAAAUUGUUGUACAGAAGGAUUUAAGAAAUACUGCUUCAUCUUCUGUAAAUUAUAUAAAGUUCUACUGGAGAAAUAGCACAAGUUUACAUCAGAAUGGUAGCUGCCUGGUGGAGCUGCAUCACUCUGCUUUUGUUACUUUCUGUGUGAAGAGAACAGACCAAUUUCCUGAUUCAGUCUUAGAGAAUUAAUCAAAGACGCCCCUUGAGGAGUACUAGUAUUUACUUUAAGUUCUCAGACUCUUGACUAAGAAUGAAAUAGUUGCAAAAUUCAUACUGAACUUCAUGCAUUCUGCAUAUUUUUUAUCAGUGAUGUGUGAUUUGAAAAAAGAUAGCUUGAGAAAGUUUAAAAAAAGUUUAUUUGCUAGAAAUUAUGACACAUAGCUGUACAUCUAGCUUAAUAGUCAAACAGAUCUGGACAAAAUUGAGUGACUUGGGAUUUAAAUCCUCACAAUGUGCCUUUAGACCAGCACGACCUGCACAGGACCUUUAUUUUUUCUUGUCACAAAAUGUCCAGUACACUGAGACACAACUAGACAUGUGGUCUAGCCUUGCUGGACUCUUCUACGCCUUGAUUCUCUUUUUCUCAUCUUAGUCUUUUGCUCUUAUAUUGAAAAAUGUUUCUUUUUAAUGCUGAUAAUCACAAUCUACUUUUAAAAACAAUUUCCUUUGCAGGAAUCUAUCUCCAGCUUUAUCUCCCUGUACUUUUUCAUUCACUUUAAAUGUUUCAAAAAUUUUCUGACCUUCCGCCAAGGAUUUUCUGAAGUGCAUCUUGAAUUUCUUAAAACACGUUACGCUGCAAGGUUCUGUCUGCAAAGUCAAGAGUUAGUUCACUUGAAAAAUGGUUGUGAGACUUAACCCAAAUUGAUACCGUGUUGACCAGAGUCUGCAGCUUCUCAAAUGUAUUUUCACAAGUAGCAAAAUCAAAAAUGUACAAAAGUUUAGGGUG